rnacentral:rRNA from 1 species
UACAUAGGGUGCAAGCGUUGUCCGGAAUUAUUGGGCGUAAAGAGCUCGUAGGUGGUUCGUCACGUCGGAUGUGAAACUCUGGGGCUUAACCCCAGACCUGCAUUCGAUACGGGCGAGCUUGAGUAUGGUAGGGGAGUCUGGAAUUCCUGGUGUAGCGGUGGAAUGCGCAGAUAUCAGGAGGAACACCAAUGGCGAAGGCAGGACUCUGGGCCAUUACUGACACUGGAGGAGCGAAAGCGUGGGGAGCGAACAGG